GGUAAUUCCAGAGCAACGCAAAUGACGUGUCUAGCUGGUACGGCAAGGCCUCGACAUCCUGGUGGGCUUCUGUUCUUGGAAGUCUGCGCGGAAGGAGGAAACCGGAGCACCCGGAGAAACGCCACGCGGGCAAGGGGACACCACUCUACCCCACACAGACGACACAGGUGGAGUCCACAUCUUGCUGGACCGGCGACUCCCGAUCAAUGGAACCACGCGGCUCUUUCCUCCCAUCGUCCGGGGGGGGGAGGGUGUACCGCGUCAGCGCAAUCGAUCCAAAGCUUCCGCGCAAGCGCUCGACAUCGACGGGGAUUGGAACGGAGUUGCGCUGUUUGUCAUUUUCUUUCCACAACCGACUCGUCACAGGGAGGGGCUCGGCGCUGGCGACGCCACGGUGCUUCUGAGU